rnacentral:misc_RNA from 1 species
AACCAUUCUCACCUGCGGCUAGACCUGCGGAAGGAUCAUUAAAAAGAGUGUGUACCCCUCUGUAAAAUGAGUGGGUUACCUCCCGUCCUUUGUUGACCUCUUAGGAGGUUAUUUUGAACUUUCUGCUUCGGUGGGGUUAAACCUACCGGAACACCCUCAAAUUCUUAUCAUUUAAAAAUUGUUCAGUCUGAUUUUUGUUAAUAAAAACAAAAAACUUUCAACAACGGAUCUCAGAUCGGA